AUUGAACGCUGGCGGCAUGCCUUACACAUGCAAGUCGAACGGCAGCGGGGACUUCGGUCCGCCGGCGAGUGGCGAACGGGUGAGUAAUGUAUCGGAACGUACCUUUCAGUGGGGGAUAACGUAGCGAAAGUUACGCUAAUACCGCAUAUUCUCUGAGGAGGAAAGCAGGGGACCUUCGGGCCUUGCGCUGAUGGAGCGGCCGAUAUCAGAUUAGCUAGUUGGUGGGGUAAAAGCCUACCAAGGCGACGAUCUGUAGCGGGUCGGAGAGGAUGAUCCGCCACACUGGGACUGAGACACGGCCCAGACUCCUACGGGAGGCGGCAGUGGGGAAUUUUGGACAAUGGGGGCAACCCUGAUCCAGCCAUGCCGCGUGAGUGAAGAAGGCCUUCGGGUUGUAAAGCUCUUUCGGCCGGGAAGAAAUCGCAUAGGCUAAUACCCUGUGUGGAUGACGGUACCGGAAUAAGAAGCACCGGCUAACUACGUGCCAGCAGCCGCCGUAAUAC
rnacentral:rRNA from 1 species